GAAUCACAAUAAAAAUUUACUUUUAUCGUGCACAAAACCAACAAAAUUUACAAAAAAAAAAUAGGAAUAAUAACACAAAAAUUAUAAUCAACAUAAACAAACUAGAAACAAAUACACAAGUUAACCACCAACAUUAAAAAAGUCUAAUAGUAAAGGUAAAUAAGAAAAAUAUUGAUCCAAAUAGAAUAGGUCCAGAAACCGAACUGCAAUAUUUUUUGAUAAUAAUGCCAAGAUGCAAAAGAUCAAAUGAUCGACGCAGGCGUGAAAUGCGUAAAGCUUUAAAAAAAUACCGUGAAACGCAUGGAGGUUUCGAUCGAGAAAGAAAUAAAAAAAGGUUGGCUUUACGACGAACGGAUGAAGAAUUUUACCUCGAAGAGCUUUACAAAAAACGAAUAUAUAACCAAAAAGUAAAGGAUAGUAAAAAAAAGAGUAAAAUUGUGUGCAUCCGAGAGAAUGAAGCAGAGCAAGGAGAAAGCAAAUUUGAUAUAACUGAUCGAAAUGAAGAUAUUUCGGUUUAUAAUGAAUGCUAUCGAGGAGAUGAGUUAUCUUAUUCCGUUGCUAAUAAAUAUUUCGAAAAUACUAAAGGAAAUGAAGAUAUUCCCAUGUAUAUCGAAAUCAAACCAGAAGAUAUGCCAGUUUAUAAUGAAUGCUAUCGAGAAGACGAAGAUAAGUUAUCAUAUUCUAUUACUAAUAAUAAUUAUGAACAUAAUGAACAUUGUCAGGUCCCAAUAUUGGAAAGUUCUCAGAGAGAAAUAUGUAGUACAAUUGAACAAUUCAUAAAAUCACAUCCUAUUGAAAUUUGUGUAAGCAGUGCAGAAUUUUGUAUUCCAAUACCAUUAAAAAAAUCUAUCUAAUUAGUUGUUUUUGAUAAUGAUCCUGCAGAUUUCCCAACAAUGGACAAUCGUAUGCGUAAAAAAAAAUAAAACAAUCAGCAGCAAUAAAACUAGAAGACGGAAUAAGUUCUGUAACACGAUGGGAAGAAAAUUGAUAAUUUUCAAAUAAUUGUUAAAAUCGAAAACUCAUCAAUCAAAACAAUAACGUUAAGAUUUGUAAUUUUUGAAAGAUUCUACUGAUAAAGUAAGUUUGAAGAUAUUUGAAUUUUUUUAAUCAACGUUUUUGUAAAUGCAUUGAAAAUUUUAGAAAAUUCUAAAAUAAAAAAUCUAUUAACGUAUGCGGAAUGAAAUUGCAACAGAACAGAAAA